AAAUCGUACCCCAAACCGACACAGGUGGUCAGGUAGAGAAUACCAAGGCGCUUGAGAGAACUCGGGUGAAGGAACUAGGCAAAAUGGUGCCGUAACUUCGGGAGAAGGCACGCUGAUAUGUAGGUGAAGCGACUUGCUCGUGGAGCUGAAAUCAGUCGAAGAUACCAGCUGGCUGCAACUGUUUAUUAAAAACACAGCACUGUGCAAACACGAAAGUGGACGUAUACGGUGUGACGCCUGCCCGGUGCCGGAAGGUUAAUUGAUGGGGUUAGCGGUAACGCGAAGCUCUUGAUCGAAGCCCCGGUAAACGGCGGCCGUAACUAUAACGGUCCUAAGGUAGCGAAAUUCCUUGUCGGGUAAGUUCCGACCUGCACGAAUGGCGUAAUGAUGGCCAGGCUGUCUCCACCCGAGACUCAGUGAAAUUGAACUCGCUGUGAAGAUGCAGUGUACCCGCGGCAAGACGGAAAGACCCCGUGAACCUUUACUAUAGCUUGACACUGAACAUUGAGCCUUGAUGUGUAGGAUAGGUGGGAGGCUUUGAAGUGUGGACGCCAGUCUGCAUGGAGCCGACCUUGAAAUACCACCCUUUAAUGUUUGAUGUUCUAACGUUGGCCCCUAAUCGGGGUUGCGGACAGUGUCUGGUGGGUAGUUUGACUGGGGCGGUCUCCUCCUAAAGAGUAACGGAGGAGCACGAAGGUUGGCUAAUCCUGGUCGGACAUCAGGAGGUUAGUGCAAUGGCAUAAGCCAGCUUGACUGCGAGCGUGACGGCGCGAGCAGGUGCGAAAGCAGGUCAUAGUGAUCCGGUGGUUCUGAAUGGAAGGGCCAUCGCUCAACGGAUAAAAGGUACUCCGGGGAUAACAGGCUGAUACCGCCCAAGAGUUCAUAUCGACGGCGGUGUUUGGCACCUCGAUGUCGGCUCAUCACAUCCUGGGGCUGAAGUAGGUCCCAAGGGUAUGGCUGUUCGCCAUUUAAAGUGGUACGCGAGCUGGGUUUAGAACGUCGUGAGACAGUUCGGUCCCUAUCUGCCGUGGGCGCUGGAGAACUGAGGGGGGCUGCUCCUAGUACGAGAGGACCGGAGUGGACGCAUCACUGGUGUUCGGGUUGUCAUGCCAAUGGCACUGCCCGGUAGCUAAAUGCGGAAGAGAUAAGUGCUGAAAGCAUCUAAGCACGAAACUUGCCCCGAGAUGAGUUCUCCCUGACUCCUUGAGGGUCCUGAAGGAACGUUGAAGACGACGACGUUGAUAGGCCGGGUGUGUAAGCGCAGCGAUGCGUUGAGCUAACCGGUACUAAUGAACCGUGAGGCUUAACCUUACAACGCCGAAG
rnacentral:rRNA from 1 species